UCGGGAAUUUUGGACAAUGGGCGCAAGCCUGAUCCAGCCAUGCCGCGUGAGUGACGAAGGCCUUAGGGUUGUAAAGCUCUUUUGGCGGGGAAGAUAAUGACGGUACCCGCAGAAUAAGCUCCGGCUAACUUCGUGCCAGCAGCCGCGGUAAUACGAAGGGAGCUAGCGUUGUUCGGAAUCACUGGGCGUAAAGCGCACGUAGGUGGGCAGUUAAGUCAGGGGUGAAAGCCCGAGGCUCAACCUCGGAAUUGCCUCUGAUACUGGCUGUCUAGAGUUCGAGAGAGGUGAGUGGAAUUCCUAGUGUAGAGGUGAAAUUCGUAGAUAUUAGGAAGAACACCGGUGGCGAAGGCGGCUCACUGGCUCGAUACUGACACUGAGGUGCGAAAGCGUGGGGAGCAAACAGGAUUAGAUACCCUCGUAGUCCCUGAGCGGGCUGGCAAGGCGCAU
rnacentral:rRNA from 1 species